rnacentral:misc_RNA from 1 species
UACGUAGGGGGCAAGCGUUGUCCGGAAUUAUUGGGCGUAAAGCGCGCGUAGGCGGUUUCUUAAGUCUGAUGUGAAAUCUUGCGGCUCAACCGCAAGCGGUCAUUGGAAACUGGGGAACUUGAGUGCAGAAGAGGAGAGUGGAAUUCCACGUGUAGCGGUGAAAUGCGUAGAUAUUCGGAGGAACACCAGUGGCGAAGGCGGCUCUCUGGUCUGUAACUGACGCUGAGGCGCGAAAGCAUGGGUAGCGAACAGG